ACGUAGGGGGCAAGCGUUGUUCGGAAUUACUGGGCGUAAAGGGCGCGUAGGCGGCACGGCAAGUCGGGAGUGAAAGCCCGGGGCUCAACCCCGGAGGGUCUUCCGAAACUGCCGGGCUAGAGUGCGGAAGAGGCAACCGGAAUUCCCAGUGUAGCGGUGAAAUGCGUAGAUAUUGGGAAGAACACCGGAGGCGAAGGCGGGUUGCUGGGCCGACACUGACGCUGAGGCGCGAAAGCCAGGGGAGCAAACGGGA
rnacentral:rRNA from 1 species